AUUACACCACUCAAGCUCGGCUUGGUAUUGAGAGGCCGCCCUUCGGGGGGUGCCCCCAAAAAUCAGCGGCGGUGCAGCCGGACUUAUCCCAGCGCAGUGACCUACAAUCUCGCUACGGAGUCCCCGGCCGUGCUCGCCGGAUAACCACCAAUUUUUCAAUGGUUGACCUCGGAUCAGGUAGGGAUACCCGCUGAACUUAA
rnacentral:misc_RNA from 1 species